CCCAGCCCACUUGCAACCAGGAGACUGUGAGGACCCUCCCCACCAGCCAGCAGCUUAGUCCCGCGGGCGCCUGCAACAACAGCCCCGCCCUCACCCCAGCCUUGGGCCUCCGUAGCUGUGCAGCUACCUAGUUCCACACUACAGAGGCACAGGAGGACAUAAAGACCAUUGUCCUGAGCUGCAGAAGUGAACAACAAAGAGAGGGCCUCUCUCAGCUCCCUGAUGAAAACUGAAGCCCACUGGAAAAGUGAAGAGAAUCUCUGCAAUAAUUGGCACACCAGACCACCGUGCUUGAGUAACAGUUCACCAAGCCUGAUUCCAGCCAGCCUCCAGUCAGAAGUCUCCGUUGUGUGACUUGGAGGUACGCUUUUGGUAUCUCAGGGUGCACAGCACCAGCCCACCGGCCGGCCAAGGGUGCUGCAGUGCCGCACAGUGGUCUGCCUGUGGCUGCAGCUGUUUGCAGGAGACCAGCGUUAGAACCCACGCUGCACACUUGAGGUGGUGGUGAACACCACAGAGGUGCGAAGCCAGGUCCGGCCUAGUGCUGCCCUG
rnacentral:lncRNA from 1 species